GACGAACGCUGGCGGCGCGCCUAACACAUGCAAGUCGAGGGAGAACCGACUUUCGGGUCGGGGAGGACCGGCGAACGGGUGAGUGACACGUGAGGAACCUGCCCUGUAGACCGGAAUAACCACGGGAAACUGUGGCUAAUGCCGGAUGGUCUCGGAUGACCGCAUGGAUGUCCGAGGAAAUGGUCUGCCGCUACAGGAUGGCCUCGCGGCCUAUCAGCUAGUUGGUGAGGUAACGGCUCACCAAGGCGA
rnacentral:rRNA from 1 species